rnacentral:rRNA from 1 species
UUGAACGCUGGCGGCAGGCCUAAGACAUGCAAGUCGAGCGAGAAAGCCCUUCGGGGUGAGUACAGCGGCGGACGGGUGAGUAACGCGUAGGAAUCUACCUAGUAGUGGGGGACAACUCGUGGAAACGCGAGCUAAUACCGCAUACGCCCUACGGGGGAAAGCGGGGGAUCUUCGGACCUCGUGCUAUUAGAUGAGCCUGCGUAAGAUUAGCUAGUUGGUGGGGUAAUGGCCUACCAAGGCGACGAUCUUUAGCUGGUCUGAGAGGAUGAUCAGCCACACCGGGACUGAGACACGGCCCGGACUCCUACGGGAGGCAGCAGUCGGGAAUAUUGCGCAAUGGGCGAAAGCCUGACGCAGCCAUGCCGCGUGUGUGAAGAAGGCCCUAGGGUUGUAAAGCACUUUCAAUUGGGAGGAAAAGCUAAUGGUUAAUAGCCAUUAGCCCUGACGUUACCUUUAGAAGAAGCACCGGCUAACUCCGUGCCAGCAGCCGCGGUAAUACGGAGGGUGCAAGCGUUAAUCGGAAUUACUGGGCGUAAAGCGCGCGUAGGCGGUUUUUUAAGUCGGAUGUGAAAGCCCCGGGCUCAACCUGGGAAUUGCAUCCGAUACUGGAUAACUAGAAUGCGGGAGAGGGAGGUAGAAUUCCAUGUGUAGCAGUGAAAUGCGUAGAUAUAUGGAGGAAUACCAGUGGCGAAGGCGGCCUCCUGGCUCGACAUGA